AGAGUUUGAUCCUGGUUCAGAACGAACGCUGGCGGCAGGCCUAACACAUGCAAGUCGAACGCUCGUAGCAAUACGAGAGUGGCAGACGGGUGCGGAACACGUGGGAACAUACCCUUUGGUUUGGAAUAACUCAGGGAAACUUGAGCUAAUACCGGAUAAGCCCGUAAGGGGAAAGAUUUAUCGCCGAAGGAUUGGCCCGCGUCCGAUUAGCUAGUUGGUGAGGUAAUGGCUCACCAAGGCGACGAUCGGUAGCUGGUCUGAGAGGAUGAUCAGCCACAUUGGGACUGAGACACGGCCCAAACUCCUACGGGAGGCAGCAGUGGGGAAUAUUGGACAAUGGGCGCAAGCCUGAUCCAGCCAUGCCGCGUGAGUGAUGACGGCCCUAGGGUUGUAAAGCUCUUUCACCCACGACGAUAAUGACGGUAGUGGGAGAAGAAGCCCCGGCUAACUUCGUGCCAGCAGCCGCGGUAAUACGAAGGGGGCUAGCGUUGUUCGGAUUUACUGGGCGUAAAGCGCGCGUAGGCGGAUCUUUAAGUCAGGGGUGAAAUGCCGGAGCUCAACUUCGGAACUGCCUUUGAUACUGGAGAUCUUGAGUUCGGGAGAGGUGAGUGGAACUGCGAGUGUAGAGGUGAAAUUCGUAGAUAUUCGCAAGAACACCAGUGGCGAAGGCGGCUCACUGGCCCGAUACUGACGCUGAGGCGCGAAAGCGUGGGGAGCAAACAGGAUUAGAUACCCUGGUAGUCCACGCCGUAAACGAUGGAUGCUAGCCGUUAGGCAGCUUGCUGCUUAGUGGCGCAGCUAACGCUUUAAGCAUCCCGC
rnacentral:rRNA from 1 species